rnacentral:rRNA from 1 species
AUGGUGGAUGCAGACGAUGACGCAACUGUGAAACUUGACGCAGGGGAGCAGCAGAGGGACUCCGGUGAGCGGCAGGAUGCAGGUUGGGCGGCGGAGCUUGGCCUUGAGGGUGGUCACGUCCCGCGCAAGGGAGCAGGGAGGCCGGAAGGCGCGGUCAACGUCGUUCCUCGGCGUCCGCGAGGAGGCGCAGAGAGGCGGAGGAGAUGCACGACAUGGAAGGGGCAGGACCGGGCCACGAGGUCCGACGACCCGACGACGAGGUGCGCUGGCGAUGACGGGAAUCGAGCACGGGGGCUCCUGCGUGCAUGGGUGGAGCGAGAGGCCGCUCCUCUCCGGCGGCGCGAGCAGGGAAGAGGGGAUCGGGAGAGAGUGGGGACCGGUCGAGGCGCUGCGUGA